rnacentral:rRNA from 1 species
CAGCAGCCGCGGGAAAACGUAGGGGGCUAGCGUUGUUCGGAUUUAUUGGGCGUAAAGCGUCUGUAGGUGGCUUUUCAAGUCCGCCGUCAAAUCCCAGGGCUCAACCCAGGACAGGCGGUGGAAACUACCAAGUUGGAGUACGGUAGGGGCAGAGGGAAUUUCCGGUGGAGCGGUGAAAUGCGUUGAGAUCGGAAAGAACACCAGUGGCGAAGGCGGCUACCUGGCCUAAUACUGACACUGAGGCACGAAAGCGUGGGGAGCAAACAGGAUUAGAUACCCCCGUAGUCCCUGUCUCUUAUAA